GGGCCAUCCUCCACUGUACUCCCAGGCCAUAGCAGAGAGCUGGCCUGGAAAAGGGGCAACUGGGACAGACUCCAGCGCCCCGACCGGGACUAGAACCCAGUGUGCUGGCACCGCUAGGUGGAGGAUUAGCCUGUUGAGCCGCGGCGCUGGCUUCUUUCAUUGUUUUUAAUCUUUUAGAAGUCCUUUAAGCUAAAUGACUGUUAUUUCACUAGAUUAGUGUUUUUACUUUCAUCAGGAACAACAUGUAUUUCCUAAUAUAUAUUAUUAUAAUAAGGUUAACUUUGUUUCUUCCUUGUCCUAGAUAAAACAGCCAGUUUAUCAAGGUAAGAUUUUAGCCUCUGUUUUCUUUAUAAUACUUUUCUCAGUGCUGGUAUUAGAUGAGAUCUUUUAUUAAACUAGCUCUAAGUACAGUAAUUUUUAUAACUUCCUGGCUUAUUACUUCUUGAAGGUUUUAGUAUUCCUGGAGUGGUUUCUAAAUGACAAUGGAGAGGGACUCGUGAUCUGUUGUAAGAAUGCAGGAAGAAGAAGCAUUAGUGGGCAUAGGAGACUGAAAUGAGUUUAGCUUCGCCUAGAAAUGUUUAAGAAGCAAGUGAUGCUGGCUAGUGCCGUGGCUCACUAGGCUAAUCCUCGCCUUGUGGCGCUGGCACACUGGGUUCUAGUCCCAGUUGGGGCACCGGAUUCUGUCCCAGUUGCCCCUCUUCCAGGCCAGCUCUCUGCUGUGGACAGGGAGUGCAGUGGAGGAUGGCCCAAGUGCUUGGGCCCUGCACCCCAUGGGAGACUAGGAGGAAGCACCUGGCUCCUGCCAUCGGAUCAGCACGGUGCACCGGCCACAGUAGCCAUUGGAGGGUGAACCAACAGCAAAGGAAGACUUUUCUCUCUGUCUCUCUCACUGUCCGCUCUGCCUGUCAAAAAAAAAAAAAAAAAAAGCAAGUGAUGCUAAUAUUUUUUUUUAAAAAUUAUAUAAUGUGAACCUAUCAAAAAGCUUAAGACUUAGAAAAGAUCUGGUUUUCUGGGGGAGGGGAGAAUGUGUCAGGAUAUUUACAUGGAAAGUCUUUAAUGCCGGAGCAGAAAGAGCAGAAAUGAUGCAUACGGUGGAAGAAGGAUUUCAUAUAGGCUUUAUGGGCAAUAAAUAAGUGUUGCUAUCUAUUGAGAGCCAAAGCUGCCAGACACAUAGUAGGCCCAACACGUUUUAUUUUUACAGAUCUAUUUAGUUUAUUUGAAAGGCAGAGUUGAGAGAGCAAGAGAGAGUGAAUUCCAUCUGCUGGUUCACUCUCCAAAUGGCUGCAAUGGCUGGGCUGGGCCAGGUUGAAGCCAGAAGCUUUAUCCUGGUCUCCCACAUGUGUGACAGGGGCUCAAGCACUUGGGCCAUCAUCCAACAUUUCCCCAGGCUAUUAGCAGGGAGUUGGAUAAGAGGUAGAGCACCCAGGACACGAACCAGCACCCACAUGGGUUCCUGACAUAGCAGGUGGAGAAUCAACCCGCUAUACCACAGCAAUGGCUCUGUGUGUUUAUUUUUUAUACUGAAUUUAUCACUUGUCAUGUUUGAAAGGGUGAAUUCAGGGCAGCAGAGCUCAUAUCAUGGGCAAAUAACAAAACAAAAAUAAGGAUGCAUCUGAGGUCAGAUGAGAGAACUAAAAGACUGUCAGAGGAGUCCUUUAGGUGUUUAUGUGAGCCAUCCACCUUACAGGAUGGGUGCAUCAGGGCACGGUGUUCACUUUUAUGGUAGGCAGUAGCAUUCUGAUCUUGGUAGUGGAAAGUCCUAUCUGAGGGGUUGGGAGCUCAUCCAGAUCCCGUAGAGACUAAGUGGUAACAGGUUGUAUUAAAUUAUUCUAUACUUCAACACCAUUCCAGAGCCCUCCAUUCUGCUUCUUGUGAAAGACAAUCCUCAGGGCAGCAGGAAGUCUUUGGAGGCCCUGGAGUAGCCAAUCAAUUGACACUUUGAACACUGCUUUCAUAGGAAUUUCAAAUGAUGGUAUUUGAGGAAGGAACAUAAUUAUCUACCUUCAUAAUUAGGGAAUAGAAAUUUAAUUUGCAGCAAAUUUCUGAGAAGAUCAAUAAUGUCACGAAAGAAAAUGCAGAACUUGUACAACAAAUUUCUGUUUUGGAACAGAAGAUCACUGAGUCGAGAAAACGUCUUCAGGAGACUAAAAGACAAAAAAAGGUGUUCUCUGAUGAAUCAGUUAAACUUAAGGCAUUUGAAAAAGGGAAAUCUACUGAAAACUUGAAAGAAGUUAUUUCAAUGAACAACUCGGGAAUUUCAGAGUCGGAAGAUGAAAAUGAUGGAGUCAAGGAUUUACAGCUGAGAGCCUUGAGGGCCAAAAUAUGGAUGCUGGAAG